rnacentral:rRNA from 1 species
AUUAGGGUUCGAUUCCGGAGAGGGAGCCUGAGAAACGGCUACCACAUCUAAGGAAGGCAGCAGGCGCGCAAAUUACCCAAUCCUAAUACAGGGAGGUAGUGACAAGAAAUAACAAUACAGAACCUCACGGUUUUGUAAUUGGAAUGAGUUAAGUAUAAACCCCUUAACGAGUAUCAAUUGGAGGGCAAGUCUGGUGCCAGCAGCCGCGGUAAUUCCAGCUCCAAUAGCGUAUAUUAAAGUUGUUGCAGUUAAAAAGCUCGUAGUUGAUUUUCUGUUAAUUUUUAUGUAUAAUAUUGCGAUAUUUACAUAAUAUUAACAUAAUUCACAUUACUUUACAGUAUGUGGAAUUUUACUUUGAGAAAAUUAGAGUGCUUAAAGCAGGCUAUUGCCUUGAAUACUCCAGCAUGGAAUAAUAUUAAGGAUUUUUAUUCUUCUUAUUGGUUCUAGAAUAAAAAUAAUGAUUAAUA